UACGUAGGUGGCAAGCGUUAUCCGGAAUUAUUGGGCGUAAAGCGCGCGCAGGCGGUUUCUUAAGUCUGAUGUGAAAGCCCACGGCUCAACCGUGGAGGGUCAUUGGAAACUGGGGAACUUGAGUGCAGAAGAGAAAAGCGGAAUUCCACGUGUAGCGGUGAAAUGCGUAGAGAUGUGGAGGAACACCAGUGGCGAAGGCGACUUUCUGGUCUGUAACUGACGUUGAGGCGCGAAAGCGUGGGGAGCAAACAGG
rnacentral:rRNA from 1 species